GACGAACGCUAGCGGCAGGCCUAAUACAUGCAAGUCGAACGAUAUUAAGGGGCUUGCUCCUUAAGAAAGUGGCGCACGGGUGCGUAACGCGUAUGUAACCUACCUUAAUCAGGGGGAUAGCCCGAAGAAAUUCGGAUUAACACCGCAUAAAAACACAGGAUAGCAUUAUCCAAUGUUCAAAUAUUUAUAGGGUUAAGAUGGGCAUGCGUGUCAUUAGCUAGUUGGCGGGGUAACGGCCCACCAAGGCGACGAUGACUAGGGGAUCUGAGAGGAUGACCCCCCACACUGGUACUGAGACACGGACCAGACUCCUACGGGAGGCAGCAGUAAGGAAUAUUGGUCAAUGGAGGCAACUCUGAACCAGCCAUGCCGCGUGCAGGAAGACUGCCCUAUGGGUUGUAAACUGCUUUUAUCCGGGAAUAAACCUUUCUACGUGUAGGAAGCUGAAUGUACCGGAAGAAUAAGGAUCGGCUAACUCCGUGCCAGCCGCCGCAGUAAUAC
rnacentral:rRNA from 1 species